AUUGAACGCUGGCGGCAUGCCUUACACAUGCAAGUCGAACGGUAACGGGUCCUUCGGGAUGCCGACGAGUGGCGAACGGGUGAGUAAUAUAUCGGAACGUGCCCAGUAGUGGGGGAUAACUGCUCGAAAGAGCAGCUAAUACCGCAUACGACCUGAGGGUGAAAGGGGGGGAUCGCAAGACCUCUCGCUAUUGGAGCGGCCGAUAUCAGAUUAGCUAGUUGGUGGGGUAAAGGCCUACCAAGGCAACGAUCUGUAGUUGGUCUGAGAGGACGACCAGCCACACUGGGAAUGGGACACGGCCCAGACUCCUACGGGAGGCAGCAGUGGGGAAUUUUGGACAAUGGGCGCAAGCCUGAUCCAGCAAUGCCGCGUGCAGGAAGAAGGCCUUCGGGUUGUAAACUGCUUUUGUCAGGGAAGAAAUCUUCUGGGCUAAUACCCCGGGAGGAUGACGGUACCUGAAGAAUAAGCACCGGCUAACUACGUGCCAGCCGCCGCUGUAA
rnacentral:rRNA from 1 species